CAAACUCAGAGAAGACAUAUACAAAAAGCUUUUGGCAUUAUUCCAAUUCCUGAACUAUCCCAGAAAACAGAAGGUGGGCGUGGAGGAGGACUACUUGGGAAGAUAAUCGGUAAUGGAGGACUCCUUGGAGCUGGUAGAAAAGUUCUUGGAAAUAUAGUCAGUCUUGUAGGGAUAAAAAUACUGGACGUCAAACUUCCAGAAUUAAAUGUGAAACUUGUACCAAGAGUCGGAGUUCAAGUGUCAAUAGACACUAACCUACAUAUCAAAGGAAAGCUUGCAAUAAUUGGUGGAAUUGAAUUAAGAGUAGGAGCUGGAGUCCUUGCAGAUGUCAAGGUCUCAAAGACAUCCAAAGGAUUCCCUAUUCUAGCUGUUACUGCAUGCAAGUCGUUGCUUGGAGAUAUAGAC